AUGGAACAUUUCUUUAAAAAGAUAAAGGUCUGUCAUAUCUGUUUCUUUUUUUUAGAAGAAAUGCUGCAUCAACAAUCUUCAAAAAAUAGGAAGAGGUGUGCAGCCAAUAAAAAGAUGGAGAUAUCCUGGAUACUUAGCUCAGCGGGAUGUUUGAGAAUGAAUGUGAAUUCUUCCACAAGGAUGAGAGCAAACAGAUAACUUUAUUUUCAUGCACAACUGUGAUUAAAAUGUAUAUAUAAAUAUGAACCCAGAAAAGAAUAAUGAAAUUGAUAUCCCCCCCACCCCUCCCUCUGAAAUUAAGUGGACUCAUCAAUAGAAAAGGUAU
rnacentral:lncRNA from 1 species